GUGAAUCAUCAAAUCUUUGAACGCAAAUUGCACUCUCCUCGGAGAGUAUGCCUGUUUGAGGGUCAGCCUAUAAAAAUCGACAUCGUUGCUGUUUCCCGGUUACGGUCGUCGGAAAUUGGGGCAUCUUUAAUCUUUUGAUUUAAACGACUUAAAAUUUUCUUUUUGGGUCCAUGAACGUUUCUAAGAUUUAUUUCUUUACACGUUUAAAGGUAUCGAUUUUUAUUAGACGUUACCAUCC
rnacentral:misc_RNA from 1 species